AGUGAACGCUGGCGGUAGGCCUAACACAUGCAAGUCGAACGGCAGCACAGUAAGAGCUUGCUCUUACGGGUGGCGAGUGGCGGACGGGUGAGGAAUACAUCGGAAUCUACUUUUUCGUGGGGGAUAACGUAGGGAGACUUACGCUAAUACCGCAUACGACCUACGGGUGAAAGCAGGGGAUCUUCGGACCUUGCGCGACUGAAUGAGCCGAUGUCGGAUUAGCUAGUUGGCGGGGUAAAGGCCCACCAAGGCGACGAUCCGUAGCUGGUCUGAGAGGAUGAUCAGCCACACUGGAACUGAGACACGGUCCAGACUCCUACGGGAGGCAGCAGUGGGGAAUAUUGGACAAUGGGCGCAAGCCUGAUCCAGCCAUACCGCGUGGGUGAAGAAGGCCUUCGGGUUGUAAAGCCCUUUUGUUGGGAAAGAAAAGCAGCAGGUUAAUACCCCGCUGUUCUGACGGUACCCAAAGAAUAAGCACCGGCUAACUUCGUG
rnacentral:rRNA from 1 species